GACGAACGCUGGCGGCGUGCUUAACACAUGCAAGUCGAACGGAAAGGCUCUGCUUUUGUGGGGUGCUCGAGUGGCGAACGGGUGAGUAACACGUGAGUAACCUGCCCUUGACUUUGGGAUAACUUCAGGAAACUGGGGCUAAUACCGGAUAGGAGCUCCUGCUGCAUGGUGGGGGUUGGAAAGUUUCGGCGGUUGGGGAUGGACUCGCGGCUUAUCAGCUUGUUGGUGGGGUAGUGGCUUACCAAGGCUUUGACGGGUAGCCGGCCUGAGAGGGUGACCGGCCACAUUGGGACUGAGAUACGGCCCAGACUCCUACGGGAGGCAGCAGUGGGGAAUAUUGCACAAUGGGCGGAAGCCUGAUGCAGCAACGCCGCGUGCGGGAUGACGGCCUUCGGGUUGUAAACCGCUUUCGCCUGUGACGAAGCGUGAGUGACGGUAAUGGGUAAAGAAGCACCGGCUAGCUACGUG
rnacentral:rRNA from 1 species